UGAACCCUUUUGAUGCAUCGUCUUGAGUCAAUUACUUCAUGGUUCCCGAGUUUAUUGGGAAGGGAUUACUCUGUGCUCUUUGCAUCAUGUUCUUGCUCACACUUCCUCUUGCUUGCUAUCAUGCCAAUCUGUGAGUACAUACAUGUCUUUACAACCCCAAAAUGAUUAGUGUGCUGCUUUAGUUAUAUUAACUGCCUUAUAUGUUGUUGAUUAUUUUGUUUCCUAAUGUAGAUUUUGCCUUACAAUGUGCUAAUGAGGCAUAAGAUCUGACAUUUGAACCCAGUUUGGGGUAGAGAGUGGGUUAGGCUUGUAGUGACCAAAGGGCAAGUGUGUUUUGGAGCACAUUUAGGAUAGCUAGAAAUUGAUUUCUGUGUGGGUUUGGCUUGUAGUGACCAAAGGGCAAGUUCGGGUUAGUGAUUUUACUUUUAUUAUUAAAAUUUUGCUAAACAUACUAAAAUAGAAAAUAGAUUUUUUUUUUCAUUAAAAAAAAAAAAUGUUUUUCCACCAAAACAAGCACGAACCAACAGAAGCGCUCUUCCUCCCAUAGGGAAUAUGGACUCGCGUACCACUCUAGUUCUGAGAAAAGGAAGAAGAAUGCUACCGCCAACAACACCAACCAGAAAACCUUUGGUAUCGCUUGGGGCUCAAAGUAGCAAGAUGUCAGAGAACACUCUAUUAUUUGUGACAUUAACUAACAUCAUAUUAUCACUUGUGAUUUCUAGCUGUUGUAGUUCACUUGAACAAGAGAAUCUACUUCUUACAUUCAGCUUAAGUACUUUGAUAUUAUAGUUGAAUUGUGGCAUAUGUCAAAAUAUCAAUAUUACCUCA
rnacentral:lncRNA from 1 species